AUACGGAGGGUGCAAGCGUUAUCCGGAUUUAUUGGGUUUAAAGGGUGCGCAGGCGGACCUGUCAGUCAGUGGUGAAAUCCCGGGGCUCAACCCCGGAACUGCCAUUGAUACUACAGGUCUCGAAUACGGUUGAAGUAGGCGGAAUGUAGCAUGUAGCGGUGAAAUGCAUAGAUAUGCUACAGAACACCGAUCGCGAAGGCAGCUUACUAAGCCGAUAUUGACGCUCAGGCACGAAAGCGUGGGUAGCGAACAGGAUUAGAAACCCUAGUAGUCC
rnacentral:rRNA from 1 species